rnacentral:rRNA from 1 species
UACGUAGGGGGCAAGCGUUGUCCGGAUUUACUGGGCGUAAAGAGCGUGUAGGCGGCCAAGCAGGUCCGUUGUGAAAACUGGAGGCUUAACCUCCAGACGUCGACGGAAACCGCGCGGCUAGAGUCCGGGAGAGGGAUGCAGAAUUCCAGGUGUAGCGGUGAAAUGCGUAGAUAUCUGGAGGAAUACCGGUGGCGAAGGCGGCAUCCUGGACCGGCAUUGACGCUGAUGAGCGAAAGCUAGGGGAGCAAACGGG